GGCGGAAGGGCAGGGCAGGAGCCGGACAUACCUCACAUUUGGCUGGGGAGAUAAGCCUGAAGUCCACAGCCCUUCCUGUCCUCACUGGGGACCCUAGGCUGUCAGGGUCCCACCAGCUACAGUUGAGAGGAACCUCUGCUGGGCCAUGCACACCUUCAGCCAUAUUACUUUUAUGGUUGGAGUUUCAUACAUUUUGGAAAACUUAGAAAUUGUAGCAGGAAGUGAGUUAAAUAAAUGAUGGUCUGCUUUCCUAGAGUUUGCCUUGUACUGUCACCUAAGAACUCUGGGCAGUUGGUCAUCAUCAUGAGACAAAGCUAUGGUGUGCUGUCCUGUGGGAGCCAAGGCUCUUAGCAGCCAACCCUUUCUUUA